UACGUAGGUGGCAAGCGUUAUCCGGAAUUAUUGGGCGUAAAGAGCGCGCAGGUGGUUAAUUAAGUCUGAUGUGAAAGCCCACGGCUUAACCGUGGAGGGUCAUUGGAAACUGGUGGACUUGAGUGCAGAAGAGGGAAGUGGAAUUCCAUGUGUAGCGGUGAAGUGCGUAGAGAUAUGGAGGAACACCAGUGGCGAAGGCGGCUUCCUGGUCUGCAACUAACACUGAGGCGCGAAAGCGUGGGGAGCAAACAGG
rnacentral:rRNA from 1 species